CACGUCAGCGCGACCUGCUGACGUGGAGGGAAAUCGCUUUCUCAAGGACGCGAUUUCCCUCCACGUUGCAGGCCGCGCUGACGUGG
rfam:Gossypium raimondii Chr13_contig_1027, whole genome shotgun sequence.